UACGUAGGGGGCAAGCGUUGUCCGGAAUCACUGGGCGUAAAGGGCGCGUAGGUGGCGCUGCAAGUCGGUGGUGAAAGCUCGUCGCUCAACGACGAGUCGGCCAUCGAAACUGCAGGGCUCGAGCACUGUAGGGGCAGAUGGAAUUCCCGGUGUAGCGGUGGAAUGCGUAGAGAUCGUAAGGAAGACCAGUGGCGAAGGCGGGUCUCUGGACAGUUCCGUGACGCUGAGGCACGAAGGCCAGGGGAGCAAACGGG
rnacentral:rRNA from 1 species